rnacentral:rRNA from 1 species
UACCAGCACCCCGAGUGGUCGGGACGAUUAUUGGGCCUAAAGCAUCCGUAGCCGGCCUUACAAGUCCUCCGUUAAAUCCAGCUGCUUAACAGAUGGGCUGCGGAGGAUACUAUAAGACUAGGAGGCAGGAGAGGCAAGCGGUACUCAGUGGGUAGGGGUAAAAUCCGUUGAUCCAUUGAAGGCCACCAGUGGCGAAGGCGGCUUGCCAGAAUGCGCUCGACGGUGAGGGAUGAAAGCUGGGGGAGCAAACCGG